rnacentral:sRNA from 1 species
GAAUCAGCUGAUCCCGCGGAUCCACGGGGUUGCCAAGCUCGCGCCGGAUGCGGAGCGCGGUGUUGCCGGUGAGCUUCAGGUCUUGAUAGACUUUCUGUAAAGAAGGAAUGAUUUGGUGAUGGAGUGUUCCCACUGACCGAUGGACUCAAAGAAGAGAAGCUCAACAGAGGCAGAAGGAUCCAAGGAAAGAGGCCUGGUCCAUAUCUGGCAGGCAGGAUCCUUUCCCAUAACACCAGAGAGAUUGCCAGGCUGGGGAGGAAAGACUGUUUUGCAGGCAGCCCUUGGAGUGAAACAUGGAAUUCUUCUGACUGAAGGCAUGAAUAGCAAUUCACAAGGCAUAUUAUAAAAUCUAUGGUGAGGUCUACAGCUUUGGGACUCUUCCCUGGAGAAGUGGACCAGCGGAGAUUUGUCCAAGUAGCCCCAUUCUAGAAAAUGCCCUGGUUGGGCAAUAUGUUGUUACUGUGGCAACAGGAAGCUUCCAUAGUGGAGCAGUGACAGACAAUGGUGUCACGUACAUGUGGGGAGAGAAUUCUGCUGGCCAGUGUGCAGUAGCCAACCAGCAGUAUGUGCCGGAACCGAACCCUGUCAGCAUUGCUGAUUCUGAGGCCAGCCCUUUGUUAGCAGUCAGGAUUUUACAGUUGGCAUGUGGCGAGGAGCACACUCUGGCAUUGUCAAUAAGCAGAGAGAUUUGGGCAUGGGGUACCGGUUGUCAGUUGGGUCUCAUUACCACUGCCUUCCCAGUGACAAAGCCGCAAAAGGUAGAACAU